GUGGGAAGGAGACGUCUGACGUUUUACUCGGAUCCGGCGUCUGUUGAACAGUACAAACCUUCGCCAUGGCGACCUUUGAUGACCUCUAAGAAGCUGGGAGUCUCUGCUGAUGUCCGAGGCGUGUCUUUGUCCUGCUCUGUCUGUUGUUAAUACCUUACUCAGGUGUGUAUGUCGGUACUGGUUUUUCCGAGUUUCACCCCGGGUCGCUGGUGUCGGGACUCUGCGGUGGGGGAGAUGAGGCAGGCGCGCUGCUGCAGCCUGGCGG